GGGGGCCACCAGCCUUGGGAUGGGGCCAACCAAGGAGCUGGAGGAGAGCCGGGGGUCAACCAAGGGCUUGGGGAGCAUUGGGGGCUGUAGGGUGGUGAAGGGCCGUGGGGUGCCACCAGCCCGGGGGCAAGCGAGGGUCUGGGGCAACCAAAGACCUGGGGACAAGCAAGGACCUGGUGACACCAAAGGACAUGGGGACACCCAAAGACCUGGGGACACCCAAAGACUUGGUGACAUCCAAGGACCUGGUGACACCCAAGGACAUGGUGACAUCCGAGGACCUGGGCACAACCAAGGACAUGGUGGCAACCAAGAACGUGGUGACACCAAAGGACAUGGUGACACCCAAGGACAUGGUGACACCCAAAGACCUGGGGACAACCAAGGACCUGGUGGCAACCAAGAACGUGGUGACACCAAAGGACAUGGUGACACCCAAAGACCUGUUGACACCCAAGGACCUGGUGACACCCAAAACCGGGGACACCCAAGGACAUGGUGACACCCAAAGACCUGUUGACACCCAAGAACAUGGUGACACCAAAGGCCCUGGUUACAACUAAAGACCUGCUGCCACCCAAGGACACGGAGCCACCCUCCGGCCCCACCACGUGCUCGGUGGUGCCGCCGCCGCCGUCACCGGCGCCGGGUGCGGGUGGGAGGAGCCGGGCGCCGCCAUGCGCGGGGGCCCCCGCCACGGGCCCCCCCUGGGCCACCCGGCGCUGGAGCGCCGCAGCGGCAACACCAUCACCGUGCGCCCGCGCCGCGGGGGCCCCGGGGCCGCCGCCGCGCCUGAGCCCCCCCAACCGGCACCGGGGCCGCUGCCCCCCCCCAAGAAGCGUUACCCCACGGCCGAGGAGAUCCAGGUCAUCGGCGGGUACCUGGCGCUGCCGCGCUCCUGCCUGGCCAAGAGCCACCCCCACCGCAAGAAGCUGAAGAUCUGGUUCAGUGAGCGGGAGCUGGAGCGAACCUUCUGUUACCCAUCGGAGGGGGCGCUGCUGGCGGCCUGGGGCCCCCCCCGAGGAGCCGCCCCCCCCCCCGGACCCCCCCCGAUGACGAUGAGAGGAGAUGAGCCCCUCCAUGUGCGGGGGGGGCCGGGGGGCUGCGGGCACGAGCCCUGCUCGUGAUGAAUCCUGCCCCGGGUAACCCCGGCCUCUGCCCCACGGCUGUGGGGGGGGGGAUGAUGGAGCCACGUUGGGACCCCCCCCAUGCCACCACCACGGACCUGCGGGACCCCCCGGCGGGGCAGGACCCCCCAUAGACCCCCAUAGACCGGGGGGGGCACAUAAAGACAACAUGGGGGGGGUCCCAGCUCUCAUUUUGUAGCUUUAUAGCGGGGUGGGGGUGGGGGAGGGCAAUUAUUCUUAAUGGGUGUUUUUUAGCUUAAUUACGGUCUUUUCUAAGCUUUGUCAGUAUUGGGCCAACUGGAGCUGCCCCAGUUUGGGAUGGGGGGGGGGGCCAUGGCAGUGUUAUUGGGGGGGGGGAACCACGAUACCAUGGCAACGGAUGGAGAUGCGCCACCUCCUCCCGUUGCCAUGGCAACAGAGCUUUAUUCCCCCCCCCCCCCCCCUUUAUCCCACUGUGCUGUAACCGCGAACAAGGCGACAAUAAACGCUCAACCGC
ensembl:lncRNA